rnacentral:tRNA from 1 species
GGGCCCAUAGCUCAAUGGAUAGAGCGCUGGCCUCCGAAGCCAGGCGUCCGAGUUCGACUCUCGGUGGGCCCGCCA